rnacentral:antisense_RNA from 1 species
GAGCGAGGCUUGCCCGCGAAGGCGAUUUAACGUUCAGCGUUGAUGUUGGCUGAAAGAUAGCUUUCGCGGGCAAGCCUCGCUC